UUGCUUUUCUUUUAAUUUUCGGUCCGCGUAUUCUUAUUGUUAGAGAGAGAGAGAGAGAGAGAGAGAGUGCGUGUGUUAGGUGUAAGUUAGUCUGUUUUGCAGGUGAGGAGUGGUAGCGUCGUCGAUCGGUCAUUUCUUUUGGCCUCAGCUCUUCUUCUUCUUCUUCGAUCUCAACUGCUUGCUUCAGAUCAGAUCAGAACCCUUUCAAGCUGCCAAUGGAGGUUUUUGGUAAAUCCAUGAUGUCUGCUCCUGCCAAUGUUGUUUAUCUCUCCACUAUCCUUGGCCUUGAUGGCCCAAUUCCUGUCCACAAAUGUGACUGCAAGUGUCAGAAUGAACAUGUCCUUGCCAACAUGUACCGCUGCAGCCUCACUGGUCUCACUCACAUCUGUGACAAGAACUGUAACCAGAGAAUUUUGUAUGACAACCAUUCUUCCCUUUGCCGGGCUAGUCGCCAGAUUUUCCCCCUUUCCCCAGCUGAGAUGCAGGCUGUCAGAGGAGUUCGCAGGAAGCUCGAUGCUGAGAAUAGCAGUGCUCCCACUGAUAGCUGUUCUUUCAAGCGCAGGCGUGAUGCACAGUUUCAUCCUUCUCCUUUCGAGAGAUCUUUCUCUGCUGUCAGUCCAAUCUGCAGCCAAGUUGGAGAUGGCAUGGAUAUGAGCUAGAUAUAAUAUAUCGAAUUCUGUCAUUUCUUGCUAUGUUGAAUGAUGCUGUGUAGAACUGCUGAUGGAUUGAGAAGAUGCUGCACUUAUCUGCAGUUCACCCCUCCAUUGUUGAAGAAUUGAAAUUGAGAUACAUGAUCGUCUUAUAUUGACCACUGGUUUGUUUUUUAACAGAUCAGCGCCUCUGCUUUAUGAUACAGAUGGAACUUAAUUGGUAGGAUUAUCGGACUGUGAAUGCGGAGGCAAAAGGAAGUUUUAUAUUUUUGGUGAGCUUUGAAGCCUUGAAGAGCAGCUAGCUAGGUUGUAAGAAGCGCUGGCUUUAACCUCGUGAAUGCACCGAUGCCAAGCAAAGCGCUGGCUUCAGCAUCAGGAAUCAAGAUGAGAACAGUCUGCAGGUCCACAUGGGGCUACCCCUAUCAUGCUUACUUGUUAAUGGUGUUAGAGGGAGCUGAGCUUUUUGUAUCUGGGCUGGUCUGAAGCUCCUGAACAAGCACUUAGCGUCCCUUUCUGGUCUGAAACUACCCUGUUGUCGCCUCUUUUUUUUUCCCAAAUGGGGGGACGAGUCUUCAGAUUGUUGCAUUUUGCAUAAGCACACUUGUAUCCUCGAAUUCUGAUAAUGGCCAAGAAAGAAUGCUUUUCCUUGUU